rnacentral:lncRNA from 1 species
UCACACAACAGAUAACUGUCACCCUGACACCUUAUCCUCUCUUUUAUUCUUACUUCUGAGUUUACUUCGUUUCUUAUCCAAACUGGACCCAUACAGUGCCCCUGUUGUUUCUCUCACCAGGAUAUUCGUGAUUCCCUAGCUUGAAUCAAUGCAACAAUCUACCUUUUAACUCAGAUAAGCAAUCAAUGUCAAUUAGAAUUCUGAUGCAAAAAUUGCUCUGAUUUCCAUUCACCAUAAAAAUCCCUUCGUUUACUCAUUUAUUCACUUUUUCAGGAAAUCUUUACUGACUACCUACUUAGCAUCUAGUGUGCCUGAUGCAGACUUCCAUAUAUUCUCAGAUUCUCCAGUGAUUCACUUUCCCUUGCAGCAGAUGAGCUAGAUCUUUGAGAAGAACAUUGAUGAUAGCAUGAACUGUCGGUAAUUCUAUCUACCCCUUGACAUAAAUUUAAACAGUUAUUUCUGUUUUUAAAAUGGGAAUUUGUCUCAGCACGAUUGAUGUUUCAAGAAACAACUUAAGUGCAACUCAAAUUUGAUAUUGGCUUAGGCAUGCUUUCAUCCAUGAGAAACACCAGGUAAACAUAGAAAGCUACACUAAGUUGAACUGAGCUCACAGAAAUAAACAAAAUGCACCCACAAACAUCUACCAGCUCAAUUCCCCCAUGUGUGUUAUGAUCCACACCCAUCCACACCUAGCAUUGCUACUUUCCAGGCCAUUUUAGCCAACUCUUCUUUCUCCAGUUCAUGCUGACUCACAAGCUAGAAUCCUCCCAACAUCCACUUCCCCAAGUUUUUUUCAAGGUAAAGUGUCAUCUUUAUUGUAGUGUAUCUGUAUUAAUUAUCCACUUAAGAAUGUGUAAAACUGUGCUAGCAUUUAAUAAAAUUUGCAUCCAUUUUAUUAAAAGUUCAUUUCUUUAUUUUUAUAGAGGGUGGUAGGGGCAAAGAGAAAGAGACAGAGAGAGAAUCUCAAGCAGACUCCACACUAUCAGCACAGAGGCCAAUGAGGGGCUUGAACUCAGGAACCAUGAGAUCAUGACCUGAGUCAAAAUCAAGAGUUGGAGGUUUAACUGGCUGAGCCACCUGGCACCCUUGGCAUCAAUUUUUUUAAAAAAAAGAUAUUGGUAUUUUUGUGUGUAUAACUGAUGCAGGUUUUGAAUGUGCUCCACCUAAUCCCACUGUUUCCAUAACUCCUAUAAUUUUUUUUAAGUUUAUUUAUUUUUGAGAGAGAGGAAGAGAGAGAGCAGGGGAGGGACAAAGAGAGAGAGAGGGAGAGAGAGAAUCCCAAGAAGGUUCCAUGCUGUCAGUGCAGAGCCCAACACAGGGUUCACACUCACGAACCAUGAGAUCAUGAACUGAGCCAAAAUCAGGAGUCAGAUUCUUAACCAAUUGAGCUACCCAGGUGUCCCCAUAACUCCUGCAUUUUUUAUCACAUGAUUUUGCAUUGCCUAAAGGAAUGGUUAAUUUUAUGUGUCUACUUCAUUAGGCCACAGUAUUGAGAUAUUUGGUCAAAUACCAGGCUAAACACUGCUAUAAAGGUAUAUUUUAUGGGAGAUUAACGUUUAAAUCCAUAGAUAUAGUAAAGAUCACCCUCCAUAAUGUGGGUGGGCAUCAACCAAUCAGUUAAAGGUCUUAAAAGAGUGUGAUUCCCUGAGGAAGAGGGAAUUCAGCCUCCAGACUGUCCUUGGAUAGGAACUGCAAUGUCGGCUCUUCCCUGGGUCUCCAGCAUGCUGCUCUGCCUUGCAGAUUUUGGACUUGCCAACCUCCAUCAUUAUGUAAGCCAAUUACUUAAAAUCUCUCUCUCUCUCUCUCUCUCUCUCUCUCUCUCUCUCUCACCUUUUUCAAUAGAUGAAAGAGACAGAGAGAGAGAGAGAUCCUAUUGGUUCUGUUUCUCUGGAGAAUCCUUACUAAAACAGCUGGUGAUUUUUAAGAACAUAUAUGUCAUAUUAUAGUGACCUGACUGUACCUCUGAACUCAUUCUUACUGUUUUCCAGCCAUUGCAAAGAGCAGGGCACUUCUGCUGUGUCAGACAAAUUCGUCCACUGCUGUUCUAUAUUCCAUUUCUUCCUAUUUCCCCUGGAAUCUUGCUAUUUUACUUUGUCUUUGUUCUUAUCCUGUCACCUCUUUCCCUGCUGCUUCCUUUCCUUCAUUAUGUAAACUCAGAUCACAAGGGCCAGAAGUUGGAGUGGAAUGGACAACUGUUAGGAUAGUUUUAUUCUAGGUUAUAGGAGAAGAUGAUCAUGUUUCCAAAAAGGAGCUUAACAAUAAAAAUGAGAAAAAUCUUAAAAACAUGUUGAAAGUAGAAUCAACAGAAUUUGGCAACCAGCAUGUGGCCAAUUUUGGGUGAGGCAAAAAUAAGUCUGUUUUUUCUCCCAAUCAUCUUGAUAAGUAGUUGUGGCAGUUUUACAAAAUUAAAAAAAAAAAAAAAAGGAGAGGAUUAAUUUUGGACAUAAAUUUAAUUUUUUGUAUAGUCUUCAAAUGUAUUAAUGAACAUGUUUCCAAUUAACUCCAUUUCUUAUCAAUUCUCCAAACUACUCUUGGCAAUUUUUCUAAUGCAUCCUUCUUUGUGGGGUGCCUCUCUGCCCCAAGUGUUUGUCUGACUUGUUUAUAGAAUAAUUCCUAGCUCAUCUUUAGGUUGCAACCAACUCCUGAUUCUCUGAUAUAAUUUUUAUUAUACCAGAUAGGCUGUAGUUGUUAAUGUUUUUUUUUUUCCUGUAAUAUUCUUGAUAAGGAAAAUCAUGUAUGGCUACCAACUGACACAGUGCUUGGCACAUAGUAGCUACUCAAUGAAUGUUUCUUAAACUAAGUGAAUUUUUGGGCCAACUAAUAUGAUUGUGUUCUGCCUUCACCUCCCCACUAAAUCUGAAUUCUGGAAUGAAACUCCAGCUUGGAUGGCAGGGACCUGUUGAUUCCAGUUUAAAAAAUUCUGUAGCUCUAGCUCCUAAUGACCUGUCCUCUGAACACAUGGGAAAUUAUAAACCUAAUGGUCAUAGAGUCAAUAUUUUCCAAACAAUAGGAUGAGAAAGUCUGAUUUCUUGAUAAAUUUGACACUUCCACUGCACCAACAACUUCUCCAGUGUUGACAAGGAUGCCAUCUGGGAACAAAGUUCAGCACAGCAUAUCCUGAUAAUGCCAAUGACCUCUUCAUGGAUUCUUAACAUAGUCCACUGGGUUUGUGGAAUUGGCAAAUUAGAAAAUUACUGUAACACUUAGUUGUAUUAAUUUCCUUGGGGCUGAAUCAGAGGCAUAUAUGGCAAGAUAUCUAUGUGACACAAUCAAGAGCCACAGUGAACUGAAACAAUGAAAUGUCAUAUAAUUUACCCUGAUUCUUAAAACUUCUUAAAUUGAUUCCUACCUUCCUCAGCUAUAGUAUAUUCUUACAAUGUAAAUAAUAAAUACUGCUUAGCUACCAAAUUCAUUUUAAAAAAUCUUUCAUUUCUAGAAGAGUGAAUUUUCUUAAAGAAGUAGGUAAAAUGUUGAACAAUAACAGAGAGGGAGGCAAACCAUAAGAAACUCUUAAAUACAGAAAACAAACUGAGGGCUACUGGAAAGGGAGUGGGUGAGGGGAUGGUUUAAAUGGCACAUAGGCAUUAAGGAGGGCACUUGGAAUGAGUACUGGGUGUUGUAUGUAAGGGACGAAUGACUGGGUUCUACUCCUGAACCCAAGACUACACUGUAUGUUAACUAACUUGAAUUUGAAUUAAAAAAUAAAAUACAAAUGAAAAAUUUAAAAAAAGUAAAAAGAAACAGUAACAAAAACUUGAUGUGAAUCCUGGAUUUACUCUUUACUAGCUGUGUGACCCAACAAGUUAUCUAAAUGGUCUGAGUUUAUAUAUUUUUAUCUCUCUAUAUCUCUGAGUUUAUAUCUCUUUAAAAUAGGAAAAGAGUAUUUAAUUUUAGGUUGAAAUGGAGCAAAUGUAAAUGUAGAUUUUAAGUGCCUACUACAGAGACUGUAUUUCUUUGUUUUUAUUUAUUUUUUUUUUAUUUUAUUUAUUUUUUUGGGGACAGAGAGAGACAGAGCAUGAACGGGGGAGGGGCAGAGAGAGAGGGAGACACAGAAUCGGAAACAGGCUCCAGGCUCCGAGCCAUCAGCCCAGAGCCCGACGCGGGGCUCGAACUCCCGGACCGCGAGAUCGUGACCUGGCUGAAGUCGGCCGCGCCGCUUAACCGACUGCGCCACCCAGGCGCCCCAGAGACUGUAUUUCUUAUAUGCACAAUAAAAUAGCAGUGUCUUUACAAUUUGCUCAUAAUAUAAGCACAUACUGUAUUUGCACUGUGUAAUCUGAUUUAUUUUUCAAAUUAAAGCAUUUGUGUUCUCAUAAAAUUAGCACAUGCACAUUAUAAAACUUUUACACAAUUUAGAAGUAUGAAUAAUAAGAGAAAGUCCCUCAUAUCAAUCUGCAAUUAACUAUGCACUGUGAACGCUGCCAAAUGCGCGCGCGCGUGCACGCGCGCGCGCGCGCACGCACGCACACACACACACACAAAUACAUACAUAUUAAGUAGGCUUCGUGUGUAGCACAGGGUUGAACUCACGACCCUGAGAGCAAGACCUGAGCUGAGCUCAAGAGUCCGAUGCCUAAACAACUGACCCACCCAGUCACUGUGCCCCCUGUCAGAUAUUUUUAUGAAUAUAUUUUUUCUACCAGAAAGAGGGUUUUAUUUUAUAUAUAUAUAUAUAUUAUAUAUAUAUAAUAUAUAUAUAGUUAUAUAUAAUUUAUAUGUAUAAUAUUAUAUAUUAUAUAUAAUAUAUAAUAAUAUAUAUAAUAUUAUAUAUAUAUAGUUCUAUAACUGCUUUUCAUUUAAUUUGUAAAAAAAAAAAAAAAAAAUUCCCUAGUCACUCAGCCAUCUUUAAUAGCUAUUGAAUACUUAUUUGUGUUUACAACCUAAUUGAGGGAAUUUUUUUAUAACCAGUACAAGAAUCCUAGGAAGAGAGAGAAGGCAGCCUUUGUUAAGAAAAUGUUAUGAUAACCACACUGUAAGAGGGAGGGUGGCAUCCUAGGUGUCAGGCUGGCAACUGGAAGUCCAAAGGAAGUGGGUAUCUCCUCUCCCCGAAAAAAGAAGAGAAUGUGGAUGUUCUUAAGAGGAGAGUGGAAGAGACCAGAAGCAGAGGAAGGAGUUAGCAGAGCUAAGGUGUGUGUGUGUGUGUGCGUGCGUGCAUGUGCGUGUUAGGAGGGGUAGUAUACAGAAAAGACCUCUCCUCUAAAGUGGAGAUGUGGCAGAGAAAAAGAAGGGAUAUGUCUAAUGGGAUUUUUCAGUAAGUCAUAGGUCCUGUGAAGUGAAACUGAAAAUAGCAGGAUGUUCUUUAAGUGAUUAACUUGUUAUGGAAGUUGAUAAAGGGAUUGGUGAGGGGCAGAAAAAAUGAUACCCUUAUGUAUGGCUCAGGGACUGAUAUCUGGAUAACAAAUAGAGAUAGUAUAAUUUAUUUAUAUGAUGUCAAAUACAUGACAAACCUAUCCAAAAAAGUCUAUAAGGAAAAUGUUUGUAAAUAUGCAUCUUUGCAUUUAUUACUCCCAUUAUUUUAUUUCUUUUUUAAUUUAAGUAUUUUAGCUAACUGACACAGUAUUGUCUACUAUGUUCCUUUCCUACUACCCAAGAAUUCCCACAGAUGUUCAACUUCUCUCCAAUAAGAAUUUCAUUCUAAAUGAAAAGGAUUCUUCAUUUCCAUCAUGAAUCUAAAUUUUUUAUGAAUUUUUGCAAAACACUCUGAGUUUAAGGUCUAUCCUUUCUUAAAAUUGAAGUUUAUGGUUUACCAUCUCCAUGAGUACAAAGUCGUUUAUUUCCUUUCUGAUUCUUUGUCACUUAUCAUUUGCUACCCAUUGAUUUGGGAUGUUUUACAUGUUCUAUACAUUUCCUGUCUGCGAAACUGAACUAUAAUGUGUGAAGGUAGUAAUGUCAUCUUAUCUACAGGACGUAUAGAACUCUCUCACUCUGUGAAGAAAUAUUUACCUAAAAAUGCUUAUAGUUUGAAUUUCAUAUUUUAAGAAUGUCAUAAAGUAACCAUAUCCUAACAUUGCUAGCAUUAUGAUUGCUCACAGAAGAAAAUUUCUGAAUAAUAGUUUCUAUUUUGUUCCACACAAUUCCUUAUAUUAUAAUUCAAGUUCUGAAAAUAAUGAUAAAGAGAUAGUUAAUUAUAACUUUAUACUGAGCGCUUACCAUAUGCCAGAGAUUGUUCUUAAAUUUUUACAUAAUUAUUAUAUUUAAUCCUUAUAACAAUCAGUGUGAUAGGUAUUAUUAUUUAAACUGAAUUUACUGUUGAGUAUACUAUGGACUGAAAUGGAGUAAAUAACAUACCUAAGGACACAUAGGUAGUAGCAGUAAAGUUGGGAAUUACAUUCAGGACUAUUUGACUCUAGGUUUAAACCACUACUGCAGAUCCCAACUCACUUAAAUUAAACUACAUUUCUUAAAGAACUUGUGUUGAGUCACUCUUCAAAUAAUUUUUUUAGAUUAAUUCAUCCUAAUAAAAUAAGAGGCUGAAGUUAGCUUUGCUUUGUGAGUUAAUUUAAUGAAGCAAUAGCCUCUUGAAAAUCCUCUAGGAUUUUAAAUAAACUCUAGGUCAAAAGCAGACAAAUUAGCAUAACAUUCAUAUUAAUGCCUCUCAAAGUGUGUUACACAAGAAGUCAAUGCUUUGAAAUCUAUGCAAUGCCAGAUAUAUUAUUUUCAAAGGGACUUUGGUUACUCAUUAUGGUGAUGGAUGACUGUGAUGAAAAUAUCAACAUAUGUCCAACUUUUUCCUUCAAUGUUUUCCCCCAUAAAUAUAACAUAGUGAUAGAGAAUGAAGAUUAUUUAAUGAGACAAGCACAGGGAUUAUUUGCAAUGGGUGCAAGUAAAUUUGAUUUUCAAAUUAUACAGUAUGACAUUCCUCAUGAUAUUACCUACCGAUUUUAUUUGACCUUGCCAUUGUUAGAAUUAAGAAAUGUCUGAACAGACAACAACCAGUUCAAUAGUUUUCAAUAAAUUGACUGUACCUCGUUAUAAAAUGAAUGUAUGCACCCAAGGGAGAACAUUUUCUUUUUCAAGGGGAGAUCUUUUUUUUUUUUUUUAAUCCAUAUGACUAAUGGAUUAGAUUUAGCAAGCCCCCAGUAUACUACCUAGACAUUUGUAUAUCAUUUGUGAUCUCCACAGCUGUGGUCCAGUUGACCUGAACAUCACGCAUGAGUGGGUUGAACUUGAAGGUUCUCAAGAGGGCAGGUUGAACUAUCUACCCUUGCAGUUACUAAAGUUGUGCACAUUUUAUAUUUUAUAGGAAUAAAUAUUAUAUUUCUGAGUAGGACCUAACAGUAUUCAGUUCGAAGCGAGAUUAAGCAAGAGCCGGAAUGUGGCCGAACCAGCAUUCGCCUGUGGCUUCAGGGUGCACAUUUGGGAACACACCGUGACACUGCCUGUCUUGAAUAAAUUUAGCUAAAUACUGCUUGCAGGAUUAGGCCAUCCUACAUGCUCAAGUAAGUCAUUCAGCCCUCUGUCCAUCAGAGUCUGCCUUUCUGGACUUUAACUGUCAGCAAAUUCCUGGUUGCAAAAUACUAUGUUAAAGCUCCUAUUUUCGCACAGCAAAUAUCCUGGGAUCUUAGAAUGUGAAAAAAGAAAAAAAGGGGAAAAAAAAGAAAGAAGAAAGACAUCUCUAAAUGAGAUUCUUGACCACAGCCUUGGUCAGACUGGAAACCGGUCAGAGAUUCUCUCACAAUUCCACGUUCAUCUGGAGUAAUCAGAAUGUAAGAUGUGGUUGGAAGAGCUAUCUAGUGCUUGGGCUGCAACUGUGUAAUCUCAAAGAACUUACAUUUUCUCCCUUGGCCUUAGCCAUAAGUAAAGCAUAUGGUCUAGUAUCUGAUAGGGAUACAAGUGACAGCUUCUAUUUCUACAGGAGUGUCUGUGCUAACAAGGCUGACCUAGGACCAAAUUAAGAUUAACCCUGAGUCCUUAUCAUAUUCAAGUGUCUAUUAAUAUGAGAAUAGUUGGAAAUAUAUAUUUAUUUUUUUCUUAUAAAAAGAAGAAUAAGGUAAGAAAUUAUUUGCUAUCGAAUUAUGACUCUAUAAUAUUAAUUUUUUGAACAAAUGAAUUUACAAAAGGAAUGCUUGCUCUUUUAGGAACCAAAAAACUAUAAUUUUAAAUCUGUUAAAUGUACAAGUUUAGCUGAAGAACCACUACUGAGCACAAUUUCUCUGUGGCAUAUUGAAUCCACAUUAAAAUGUUCUUUAUCUCUAAACAGGAAGCUGUUGUUUAGCCAGGUUUUCCACAACAUAUAUAUUCACAAAAUGCCCCAUAAAUAGAAACAGUUUCUUCCUUGUGGAAGGAAAUGUUAAAUAUAGUUACUGAGAUGAGUGCUGGAUCAAUACAUCAAUAUAGUUCAGGUUUCCUGAUUUCCAGAAAGAUGUGAAGCCUGAAGCAAACUAAUACAUAAUUGAAGUUAUAAAAAGAAUCCAUCAUUACUUAGGGGCAUUUUCCUCAAGAAAUAGUAUUUCCUCUCCCACAGAUUAUGCCUACUUUAUAGUUCUGAAAAGUAGUUUUUGCCAGAGUACCCUGAUGAUCAAUUUCUCUCUAAAGACCCUUCCUUGCCUUUCACUCCUAUUAGCAAAUGUGAUGGUUAAUUGUAUGUGUCAGCUUGACUGGACCACGGGGUGCCCAGAUAUUCGUUCAAACAUUAUUCUGAUUGUGUCUAGGAGGUGUUUUUUUGGUUAAGGCUAGCAUUUAAAUUAGGAGCCUGAGAAAGUAUACCACCCCUCCCACCUACCCUAUAUGGGUGGUCCUCAUCCAGUCAGUUGCAAGGCCUGAAUAGAACAACAAGGCUGACUGUCCUGCAAGUAGAAGGGAACUCCCCCUGCCUGACUACAGAGCCCACACAUCAGUCUUCUGCUUUUGGACUUGAAAUAAAACACCAGCUCUUCUCAGCCCCUGAGCCUGUUAUCUUCUAGAGUGGAACAACACCAUUAGCUCUUUUGGGUCACCAGCUUGCCAGCUGCAGGUCUGGGGACUUCUGAGCUUCCAUAAUGAAAUGGACUAAUUCCUUCUAACAUGUAUUUAUAUCUUACAAUAUAUAUUUCCUCAUAUAAUAAAGAAAUAGUAAUUCAAUAACAUGUUUUAUAAUUUCUAUUUAUAUAAUAUAUAUCUUAUCCUUUUAAAAUUAUAUUUUGUCAGUUCCAAUUUUCUAGAGAAUGCUGACUGGUAGGUUAUAGAUGCAUUUAAACAAAUGUGCUAGAUGGAAGAAUUUUCCUUUAUCAAGUAACUUGAGGUAAAACAGCUUCCUGUUUCAAAAUGUGAGCUUCAUUGAUUUGGAUUUUAUCUGAUAAGGAGAUUUUUAUUUGGGAAAGAACAUUAUAGUAUAGAAAACAUUACAAAUAACUCUACCUCUGUGUAAAGAUUUUACUGAAAGUUUCGCUUCUUUUUGGCAUCCUACUUGUAUCAGACUUUUUUUUUUUCCCCUACCAAACACAAGGGUCUUUAGGAACUAUGGAACUUUAGGAACAAAAAGAGUGUUUGCUCUUAACCCAAGGAAAAUAUAGUGAGAGUUUUGCUCUAACAUACUCAAGAGCUUUUAGAGCUGUGGACCAUUUAUUAAUUAUCAGCCCUACCUAUAUGAUUGUAAAUUGAUACCUACAGGUUAAUACAUAGUUAUUGAGCUCUCCUUCCAUGCUCAUUCCAUACUGUGAAAUGGGAAAAUAAAAGGAAAUAAGAUAGAGUCUCUAUAUGAGAUGGCACAUGUAAUAUUUAUGUAAUAUAUAUUUAGAUUUUUAUAUCUAGAAGGAGAUUUAUUAUGAGGAAUUGGCACACAUGAUUAUUGUGGCUGAAAAAUCCCACCAUCUGAGUCUGCAGUUGGGGACAUAGGAAAGCUAAUGGUGUGAUUUAGUCUGAGUCUGCAAAUCUGAGAACCAGGGGAAUGAUGAUGUAAAUAUCAGUCUGAGGGUGGAAGAAGAUGAAAUGAGAUACCCCAGAUGAAGAGCUAGACAGGAAAAAAAAAAAAAAGAAGAAGGUGAACGCUUCUUUCCUCUGUCUUUUGUUCUAUUCAGUCUAUCAGUGGAUUGGAUGAUGCCCAGCCACACUGGGGAGGACAAUCUAUUUCACUGAGUCUACUGAUUCAAAUGCUAAUCUCAUCUGCAAACAUACUCACAAACACAUCCAGAAAUAAGGUUUAAUCUAGGCAUCCUAUGGCCAGUCAAGUUGACACAUAAAAUUAACCAUCACAGGGGCUUAAGUAAUUUAUUCCAUAAUCUCUGUCUUUCCUCUUGUUUGUAUUAAUUCAUUUGCUUGCUUUAUUGUGAUAAGUGUAGUAAAUGAGUUUACCAGCUUCCAAAUUCACAAUGAGUAGACAGAACCCUUCUUGACACUAUCCCUAAGGAAAGGUUGAUUUACAUGGGCAAAGGAAGAGGAUCAGGAGUUAGUUCCUGAAUUGAUUUUGGCACCUGCCAUUUGUAGACAAUGCCUGUAAUGACUUGGGACAUAUGCAUGCAAGUAAUAAGGCUAGUGGCAGCAUGAAUUUCUCCUAGUAGCUUCUUGAUCAGUAGAAAUGGACAAGUGGAAAAGAAAACCCAGGGAGGAGGAUCUAAGCAAAUUUGUCUUUAAACCAUAAAGGUUUAUAUUUCCUUUUUUUCUUUUAUCACCUUGUUUCUGUUUCCUGACUCUUGGCUCUUUAUAGUGUUUUGGUACCUGUUACAAAAUUUAUGCUUUAUUUCUAAAAGCAUUAAGAGUAGGGUUAUAGGUUUUAAAGGAUGAAUGUGAGCUGCAUGGUAGAGUGGUUAAGUGCAAAGUCUUACUAGUCAAAUGGACAUGUAUUUGAGAGAUGAUUCUACAUUUUGACAGGGAAAUUUCUUAACUUCUUUAUACCUAAGUGUCUAAACCUAAAAUGGGAAUAAAAAACAAUGCUGGCCUCUUAGAAUCAUGUCAAGAACUAUAUUCACUGAUAUAAAAAAGAAUUGGGGUAGCUACAGGUCAAUGAGUCUCAGAUGGUAGGAGGGUUUGGAUGAUCCCCUAGUAGAGAGUUUAGAAGGUGGGGAGAGGGGAUGGGGACCCCAUGUAACUUCAGAUUGUCUCUCCUGCCUUUGAAACGUCAUCCAUUAGACUCUGAUCUAUACCUCAUACCAAGACAAAGAUACAGUGUCAGAUAAACACCAUAACUGAAUAAUAUGAAUUUAGCCAUUUUCUGGAUAAAGUUGAAAACAAACUUAGAGGAAAAAUUAACUUAAUCAUUGAAAACAUGGUUAAACACUUGUUUAAAAAAUCUUCACUAAAUACAUUAUCCUAAAAACAAUCUCAGAGGCAAAUUAGCAUACAUAAGUAAUACCACAAUUUUUCCCUUAAAAAACUAUUUUGAUUGAGGGUAUUAGUAAUGAAAGACAUUUUCAUCUAUUUCAACAAUACACAGGAAGCCUAAAAUCAACGAAAACAAGCAAAAAGAAACAGUCCUGAACAAAGGCUUAUACCUUCUCUAUUUGUACCAGAGAGAAUCUUAUAAUAGAGGAAUUAAGUGGUAUCAGGGAGCAAGAAUUCCUGUCCCCUUCAAGGGUUCUUCUAGCUGGACUAAGAAUCAAAUUGUCAUGAGACAGGCUAAUAGGAGAAAAUAAAAUUUAAUUGUGUACAUAAAGGGGAUCCACAUAGACAUGGAAACUCUAAAGACAGGCAAAAUGAAACAUAUGUCAUCCUGAACUAAGAAGGGGGUAGUCUGAGACUUCAGAGUACUUCACAGGGCAAUAAGAACAGUAGACAUUUGAGAACUGGAUUUUCAUCCUGACAUAUAAAUUGGUCACUCAGAUAAAACGUAUCUCUGCUAAUAACCCUUCUGGAAAAGAGGCCCCCUCCUAUUUAGAUUCUUCUGUGCAGUUAAGGGUGAGGCAAAAGUUUCUCUUGAGCCCAUAGGUUCUUGAUUGUCUUCAGUUUAGAAUGAUUUUCAUGACAAAGUGGCCCAACCUAGGGUAGCCUGCCUUCGACCUCUACAAUGAAAAUCCAGGGAGAAGCUGAGCAGGGGAAGGAAUAGAAAAAUUUUACUCCUAUAUAAAAAUCAGACUCCCAGAAUGUAAUGGAGAAGAAAUGAUUCACUUGUCUGAUUGAUAGUUUGUCAACAUCACAUCAAGAUUUGGUAGCUCUGGCUUGGGAAUGGGAGGUUUCAGUGUUGGGAGAAGUGGGAGGAAAUCGCCUCAGAAGAAAGAUUUUGUAUUCCUAGCAGACCGCCCUGAAUUCUCUAGAUGUUGUAUUGCAAUUACUGAGUUUUAGACCAUACAGUCUCUGCUCCCAUGGUUGGGUAGGAUGGGUAAUAUCCAGAGUAGCAUUCUAAAGAGAAGCUAUGGAAAAGCGUAAAAGGAAGACAAGUGGCAUAUGGUAAAUGAGGUGGCCAAAUUAAAACUAGACAAAAUGGGGCACCUGGGUGGCUCAGUUGGUUAAGCGACCAACUCUUGGUUUUGGCUCAGGUCACAAUCUCAUAGUUUGCGAGUUUGAGCCCUCCAUCAGGAUCCAUACUGACAGUGUGAAACCUUCCUAGGGUUCUCUCUCUCUCUCUCUCUUUCUGCCCCUCCCCCACAUGCAUGUGUGUAUGUAAUUAAAAGUAAUUAAAUAAACUUUAUUUUUUUUUUUAAAUUUUUUUUUCAACGUUUAUUUAUUUUUGGGACAGAGAGAGACAGAGCAUGAACGGGGGAGGGGCAGAGAGAGAGGGAGACACAGAAUCGGAAACAGGCUCCAGGCUCUGAGCCAUCAGCCCAGAGCCCGACGCGGGGCUCAAACUCACGGACCGCGAGAUCGUGACCUGGCUGAAGUCGGACACUUAACCGACUGCGCCACCCAGGCGCCCUAAAUAAACUUUAAAAACAGACAAGAUACAUGCAAAGACAAACACUAUUUUAAGUUUCUAUUUAAGUUUCAUUUUAAGAAUGAAAUCUUGCUAUUUGCAACAAGAAUAGAGCUAGAAAGUAUAAUGCUAAGCAAAAUAAACCAGUCAGAGAAAAACAAAUACCAUAUAAUUUCACUCAGAUGUAGAAUUUAAAAAACAGGGAAAAUGAGAGCGAGAGAGUGAGCGAGAAACCAGAAACCAGAUUCUUAACUAUAGAGAACAACCAGAUGGUUACCAGAGGGGAGGUGGGGGGGGCACGAUGGAUGACAUAGGUGAAGGGGAUUAAGGGUACAUUCAUCUGGAUGAGAACUGAGUAAUGUAUGGAACUGUUGAAUCACUAUAUCGCACACCUGGAAUAAUACAACACUGUGUGUUAACUAUACUGGGAUUAAAAUGAAAUAAAUAAAAACAAAUCAAACAAAAUAAUGUAUCAGGGAAAUUACUUUUCCUUCUUCGCUCAUGCGAUCCAUCCAUUUAUUCUGAUGCUCUGGGUGUUUCAUCCUGAGGGAUACAAAACCAAUUGGGUGGCUACAAAUAUCAUUUUACACAAGCUGAACCUGCCCUGGAAAAAAUGUCCACUACUGGAUUUUUCAGGUGUACUCUUCCCUGUGAAAGAAAUUAAUUAGCAAAUAAGAGCAAGACUUAUAUGAUUGAAGAUCCUGGUGACCUUUUAAAUCCUGACAAUUUGCUCUUGUCUGGGUAUUUCCAAUGGCACUAUCGCUAUUAGUAACCUAGUGGAGUCAUGUUUUAUACUUUGUUCCUAGACUCUACCUGACAUAUUUCUCUUUAAUUUCUAACCGAGAGAGGACCCAUAAAGAAUGUCGUGAGAAAGGCAGCUCUCCUCUGAGACUUGGUAUUAUAAGAAAAGGUCUGUUUUCGGGUCAGCCACUCAGGUGGAAUUACUCCCCAAGGGCAGCACGGUUUCUCUGAGGGAAGGUACAUCUUCCCCGGCCGCCCUUCACGGGACUAAUGAGAUACACAGGUCUGCAAUGCCAGCCACCUUGUGGACUUACCACCUAGUUUAUCAAGGAGAAGUUGACUCUGGGAGCAACUACAAAAAGGAACUAUUCUGAUUUAGAUGGUGUAGAAAUGCAGGCGAGGGCCUCUCCCUCCUGUCUCAUUUGAUCAUUUUUCAUGCUUUACCUCUGCUUCUCGGGGCCAAUUCGUCUUUUUCCCUCCACAUGCUAUGCUUUAAGUGUUUCCAGUUCUAACUAGAACUUGUCUUUGAACCAAAAAGAUUUACUUCACUCUUGGUUCUUUUCUUGCCCUCAUUUCUGUUUAUUGUCUCUAUGGCUCUUACAGCUUUUCUCUUGAUAAU